GAUGACCUUGAUAGGCUACAGGUGUAAAGGCGGUGACGUCAUAGCCGAGUAGUACUAAUUGCCCGAAAGUUUUUGC
rnacentral:rRNA from 1 species